rnacentral:rRNA from 1 species
AGAGUUUGAUCCUGGCUCAGGACGAACGCUGGCGGCGUGCCUAAUACAUGCAAGUAGAACGCACAGUUUAUACCGUAGCUUGCUACACCAUAGACUGUGAGUUGCGAACGGGUGAGUAACGCGUAGGUAACCUGCCUGGUAGCGGGGGAUAACUAUUGGAAACGAUAGCUAAUACCGCAUGAAAUGGAUUAUCGCAUGAUAAUUCAUUGAAAGGUGCAAAUGCAUCACUACCAGAUGGACCUGCGUUGUAUUAGCUAGUUGGUGGGGUAACGGCUCACCAAGGCGACGAUACAUAGCCGACCUGAGAGGGUGAUCGGCCACACUGGGACUGAGACACGGCCCAGACUCCUACGGGAGGCAGCAGUAGGGAAUCUUCGGCAAUGGGGGGAACCCUGACCGAGCAACGCCGCGUGAGUGAAGAAGGUUUUCGGAUCGUAAAGCUCUGUUGUAAGAGAAGAACGGGUGUGAGAGUGGAAAGUUCACACUGUGACGGUAUCUUACCAGAAAGGGACGGCUAACUACGUGCCAGCAGCCGCGGUAAUACGUAGGUCCCGAGCGUUGUCCGGAUUUAUUGGGCGUAAAGCGAGCGCAGGCGGUUAGAUAAGUCUGAAGUUAAAGGCUGUGGCUUAACCAUAGUAUGCUUUGGAAACUGUUUAACUUGAGUGCAGAAGGGGAGAGUGGAAUUCCAUGUGUAGCGGUGAAAUGCGUAGAUAUAUGGAGGAACACCGGUGGCGAAAGCGGCUCUCUGGUCUGUAACUGACGCUGAGGCUCGAAAGCGUGGGGAGCGAACAGGAUUAGAUACCCUGGUAGUCCACGCCGUAAACGAUGAGUGCUAGGUGUUAGGCCCUUUCCGGGGCUUAGUGCCGCAGCUAACGCAUUAAGCACUCCGCCUGGGGAGUACGACCGCAAGGUUGAAACUCAAAGGAAUUGACGGGGGCCCG